rnacentral:lncRNA from 1 species
CUUCCUUUCUUUCUAAAAGGGAAAUGCAGGCUGAAUCCCUUUUAUUCUCUAAUUUUUGGUAAAGUUCUGCCUGAAAUAAAAUUCAGUUACUGCUGACACUGACUGGAAUUGUUUUAUGUGAGCAAUUCAUUUGGUUUCUGUUUUACCAUGCCGAUGGGAAAAUUUAUCAUUGUUUAUAUUGGUAUUUCUAAGAAUUCAUUAUAGAAAUGGAUUGUAACACAAAAACAGUAUUGGAGAAAAAUCCUAAUUUAGAUCGCUGUUUUACUAAUUCUAGCAGCAGGUCCCGAUGAUAAAAAUAUUCUCAACUCCUUUAGACAGGGAUUUACUCUUCCCGUGCAAAUUUAGGGCAGUGUGACCUUUCACUCCCUUUUGAUGAGCGCUCUCUUGUGGUGGUUUAUGAGUAUGUACGUCUCCAUCUUGCUCCAAGGUUCUUUGUGAGACAACAUGAGCUGUGUUUUGUCUUGAGCAUUCUCUGAUAUUCCUGGUGAAGAUAAGUACACCCUAUCUGAAGGCAGGGUGUAUGCAGACGGUGAGAAUCAGCACGGGAUGGGGGCCGGCAUGGCAUGUGGGCUACGUGGGAUUCCGAAGCACUCCAGCAGCUGACCAAGGACCAGGACAGGGACUGAUGGAGCUGCAGGAGAGAAGAGUACAGGGCACUUUGAGCAGCAAGUGACAGAAAAUCAACCCACACUAGGUUUAAAACAAGAGUGAUUUGUCUGAAGAACACAGAGGCAGCUCCAAAGACCGUCAGCAGGACCCAGAGCCAUUCUGGGGUCUCAGGGACUGGAACUAGGAAUCCAAACAUUGUCAGCAUAUUUUCUCUCUCUCCCUCCCCCCAUCCCUCCUCUGCUCCACUGAGGCUUCAUUCUCUUAAUAGAAGUGGACAUUCUUUGCCCAGCAGGACAAAGUGGCCUUCAGCAAGAGUUAAAGUCACAUCCUGAAAGAUUUGCAACCAGCGAUGUCUUUUCAUCUCUGAAUCUCAGUUGGAAAGAUCCUAGGGAAUGGCUCAGACUGUCUAGGUUUGACUCUUAUGCUCACCUCUUGGACUAUCACUGUGGUUAGGGAGUGGGCUCUCUGAUGACUGAGCCUGUGUCAUGUUUCCUUCUUUGGUCCAGAGUGAGCAGGUCUGUACCUGUGGUGGCUUAGCCCAGACAUGACCACUGGUACAUUUGUUUGUGUUGGCCAGCCCUUAGGACAGGUCCCUGACAGUCACCACCUUGGUCAUUCCUGGUACCCCACUGAGGAAAAGGUAUAGGCAGUUACCAUAAGAACUCCACCCUGGGGGUAUGUGUGUGACCAGGUGUAGUCAGACUGAGUAGGUUCAAAUGUCUGUUCCACCAAUUACUAGACAAACGAUCUUUCUAUGUUUCAGUUUCCUUGUUUAUAAAAUGAAAAUAAAAAUAGUACCAACUUCAUGAAGUUGUUAAUAAGAUUAAAUGACUUAUUAUACGGAAAGCCCUUAGACCAAGCCUGGAAUAUGAAAAAUUAGCUGUCACUAAUACUAACAAAUAUGUCAGUAGAAUAGAACCAUAAAGACAACUCACUAAAUAAGGCCAUGUUUCAUGCUAUUUUCCGUGCCCUUUACAGACCAUGAGGUCUGUGAAGUUACUUUCCAUUUAUCAUCUUCUGCUCUCUGGAAGCUGUCCAGGCUUCCCAAAAGGUGCUCAGUGGGUCUCUGAAGCUACCCUGUGUCUUUCUGGGGCCUCAACCCCAGAGUGAGUGUCUUUCUCCUUUUAUGAUCCAAAAUAGUUUACUUCUCAAAUAAAUAAACUUUUAUUACAGGGUCUUUGUAAGACCUCGGAGAUAAAGCCUCACUUGAAAGCUCACAAUAGGCAAAGCUAUAUAAGCUUUGCUUGGCUGGCUCAACCUGGUCAGGUCCAUAUUUUUGAGCAACCUCCUUCUACCUGCAACAACGGUUCCUCCCACCUUUGGUGGCUUCAUGUCAAUCGGUUUGCCAUCAGACUCUUUUUUACCCAUCACAGGCUUCUAUUCCUAACAGUGCCUUUCUAAGGCUUGGAUUUACUUUCCCUUCGCUUUUUUAAAAUAAAUCUUUCUCUCUGCUUCAUUACACAAACCUCCAUUUGCUCUUAGUCCAACUCAAUUCAGCCAAUACUGUGUGCACUUCUAUUAAAUACCAAUCACUGUGCUUGGCAUGACUCAUUUUAUUUCCUCUUUCUUUUCUCUGCCUUUAAUUCUCUCUUUCUAAGUUUCCUUGAUAGAGGGAACUACAACUUUUGUAUACUUGAAAUAAAAUUCUCUUUGUUGUUGAAAAUAUAUUCAAAAAGAAAUCUUCAUAUAUCAGAACUUCGUAUGAGAGCAAAUUCCAGUUGGGGAUGGUUAUGUGUACUUGACUCUGUCUAUCUCUAUGUCUGUAGUUAGUAUAUUGAUCAUUCCAUAGCAUGAGUUCAUUAUUCACAAUUAAUCCUUUUGUUAAACUUAUAAAGUCCUGAGUUUUGAAGUAAUUUUUCAUAUGCC